UACGUAGGGGGCAAGCGUUGUCCGGAUUUAUUGGGCGUAAAGAGCGUGUAGGCGGCUUGGUAGGUCCGCUGUGAAAACUCGAGGCUCAACCUCGAGAUGUCGGCGGAAACCACUUGGCUAGAGUCCGGAAGAGGAGAGUGGAAUUCCUGGUGUAGCGGUGAAAUGCGCAGAUAUCAGGAAGAACACCUAUGGCGAAGGCAGCUCUCUGGGACGGUAUUGACGCUGAGACGCGAAAGCGUGGGGAGCAAACAGG
rnacentral:rRNA from 1 species